rnacentral:misc_RNA from 1 species
AAGUCGUAACAAGGUUUCCGUAGGUGAACCUGCGGAAGAGAUUGCGAACUACGCGGGUUACAAGAGCAGGAUGAAGGUUCACGGGGGGGGGUUUUAACGUUUGGAUACGUGUUAAUGAUCCAAAUCAUAGCCCGGAAAGUUGUAGCGAUUCAGAGACCUCUGGCUACGUGCGAACAUUGGAACAGUUACAAUCGAGCGGUAGUUCUAUAGGCAAUGUUUCCCCAAGCAGUCAGUGUCGGAAAGUGUCAUUGAUUGUGCAAGGAUAGCGCUUCUACGAUUCCUGUAGACCGUACACUCGGGCAGGAGCUUUGCCAAAGGGUCCCCAUGCCCCCUAAUAACCCCACAGUUUAAUGUGAAGCUCAAUGUAAUACAUUGGGUAAAAAAACCGAACAACUGUUAACAAUGGAUAUCUUGGUUCUC